GAAUCUGCCUAGAGGUUGGGGACAACCACUGGAAACGGUGGCUAAUACCCAAUGUGCCUAUUCGUGAAAGAUUUAUCGCCUCUAGAUGAGUUCGCGUCUGAUUAGCUAGUUGGUAGGGUAAAAGCCUACCAAGGCAUCGAUCUGUAGCUGGUCUGAGAGGAUGACCAGCCACACUGGGACUGAGAGACGGCCCAGACUCCUACGGGAGGCAGCAGUGAGGAAUUUUCCGCAAUGGGCGCAAGCCUGACGGAGUAAUACCGCGUGCGGGAGGAAGGUCUAUUGGCUGUAAACCGCUUUUAUUAAGAAAGAAUUCUGACGGUACUUAAUGAAUAAGCCUCGGCUAACUCCGUGCCAGCAGCCGCGGUAAUACGGAGGAGGCAAGCGUUAUCCGGAAUUAUUGGGCGUAAAGCGUCCGCAGGUGGCUAGUCAAGUCGGCGGUCAAAGACUGGGGCUCAACUCCAGAAAAGCCGUGGAAACUGACAAGCUAGAGGGCGGUAGGGGUAGAGGGAAUUCCCGGUGUAGCGGUGAAAUGCGUAGAGAUCGGGAAGAACAUCGGUGGCGAAAGCGCUCUACUGGACCGCAACUGACACUAAUGGACGAAAGCUAGGGGAGCG
rnacentral:rRNA from 1 species